rnacentral:rRNA from 1 species
GAUGAACGCUGGCGGCGUGCCUAAUACAUGCAAGUCGAGCGAGCGGACGAGAAGCUUGCUUCUCUGAUGUUAGCGGCGGACGGGUGAGUAACACGUGGAUAACCUACCUAUAAGACUGGGAUAACUUCGGGAAACCGGAGCUAAUACCGGAUAAUAUUUUGAACCGCAUGGUUCAAAAGUGAAAGACGGUCUUGCUGUCACUUAUAGAUGGAUCCGCGCUGCAUUAGCUAGUUGGUAAGGUAACGGCUUACCAAGGCAACGAUGCAUAGCCGACCUGAGAGGUUGAUCGGCCACACUGGAACUGAGACACGGUCCAGACUCCUACGGGAGGCAGCAGUAGGGAAUCUUCCGCAAUGGGCGAAAGCCUGACGGAGCAACGCCGCGUGAGUGAUGAAGGUCUUCGGAUCGUAAAACUCUGUUAUUAGGGAAGAACAUAUGUGUAAGUAACUGUGCACAUCCUGACGGUACCUAAUCAGAAAGCCACGGCUAACUACGUG